rnacentral:rRNA from 1 species
GAUGAACGCUGGCGGCAUGCCUAAUACAUGCAAGUCGAACGAAGUCUCUAGGAAGCUUGCUUCCAAAGAGACUUAGUGGCGAACGGGUGAGUAACACGUAGGUAACCUGCCCAUGUGUCUGGGAUAACUGCUGGAAACGGUAGCUAAAACCGGAUAGGUAUACGGAGCGCAUGCUCUGUAUAUUAAAGCGCCCUUCAAGGCGUGAACAUGGAUGGACCUGCGGCGCAUUAGCUAGUUGGUGAGGUAACGGCCCACCAAGGCGAUGAUGCGUAGCCGGCCUGAGGGGGUAAACGGCCACAUUGGGACUGAGACACGGCCCAAACUCCUACGGGAGGCAGCAGUAGGGAAUUUUCGUCAAUGGGGGAAACCCUGAACGAGCAAUGCCGCGUGAGUGAAGAAGGUCUUCGGAUCGUAAAGCUCUGUUGUAAGUGAAGAACGGCUCAUAGAGGAAAUGCUAUGGGAGUGACGGUAGCUUACCAGAAAGCCACGGCUAACUACGUGCCAGCAGCCGCAGUAA